UCGAUAUAUUGUUCCAAAAGAUUCAAAAAAAGAAAAAUUAGGAAUUUGGUUCUUAAACUUUCAUUAGAAUUUAGGAAUUAGAUAUUAAGGCUAACAUUUGAAGAUUUGUCAGAAUCUAAUCCAAAGAAACACUACGUCGAUUCGAAUUUUGAAGCAUCUGUCAAAAUGAAAAGCAAAAGGUGGUAAAGGAGUUAUUGGAGCUGUUGUCUUACGGGAAUGCAGUGGUUCACAAAGUGUUCCAGCUCAAGUUGAAGUAUCCAUUGUCACUAAUACUCAAGAAAAUGAAGCUCAAUGUAUGUCAGGUGUUGUAUCUAAUGUGAACAUGAACCUAGGCAGUAAUGAUAGAUUUAGAAAUGCAUUGCCAUAUCAAAGGAAGAACCUGAAGAAUCCAUGAAAAUAAUACAUACCUGGGUUUGCAGUACAAUCAGUAAGAGGUUAUGGUGUCUUCAUAGAUCCAGUGACAGGCCAUGUGGCUAUAAAUGUGGUAAUACCAGUUCAUUUUAAUACUUUUAAUUUGUAAAUGUUAAAAAGUUAUAUGCUUAUAAUGUGCGUUUUGGUUGGAUAUAUUAUUUACAACCAAAGACUAGUUCUCAAAGAAUAAUUUACAAGAAGGGUAUAAGAAGAGAAGGCAAUGAAGUCGAGCCAUCAUUCAUGACACAAAUAAAAGCAGGAUUUAAGAAAUGGGGCAAACAGUUUAAUACUACUUCUUAAUCAGAGGGAGAAAGGCAGACAAAAAUCUUAUCACUAUUUGAUAAAGAUAAAGAGAAACAAAGCACAUAAGCUUCAAUAGAGAAUUUUGAGAAAAAGAGGAAAUCCAAUUAUGAUGAUCGUGCAAAAAAAGAAAUAAAAGCAAGCUUGGAGAAAGUGGUACCAGUUCCACAACUCAAGAACCUCCAAUGGGAACACAAGAAUCCAUUGCUAGAUGACCAAAUUAAAGAAUCUCCAAAUGUCAUGUAUUUAUUUUGUUAAACUUAUGUUUUCAUUUCUUAUUUUUGGUACAAUUUGUGAUAGUGUCUAUUUUAGCACAAUGUAAUGUUAAUUGAGACCAAUUGUAGAUAAAUUGGGAUCCUUUUCACUUUGUUUCACUAAUUUAUAAUGUGAAUCGAUGGAACUAGUUAUUAGCAUAUUAAUAAAUGUUCGCUUUUUGGUA